rnacentral:rRNA from 1 species
GCUUACGGCCACACCACCCUGAUCACGCCCGCUCUCGUCUGAUCUCGGAAGCCAAGCAGGGUCGGGCCUGGUUAGUACUUGGCUGGGAGACCGCCUGGGAAUACCAGGUGCUGUAAGCAU